rnacentral:rRNA from 1 species
GAGGUUGUGCCCUUGAGGCGUGGCUUCCGCAGCUAACGCGUUAAGUCGACCGCCUGGGGAGUACGGCCGCAAGGUUAAAACUCAAAUGAAUUGACGGGGGCCCGCACAAGCGGUGGAGCAUGUGGUUUAAUUCGAUGCAACGCGAAGAACCUUACCUACUCUUGACAUCCAGAGAAUUCGCUAGAGAUAGCUUAGUGCCUUCGGGAACUCUGAGACAGGUGCUGCAUGGCUGUCGUCAGCUCGUGUUGUGAAAUGUUGGGUUAAGUCCCGCAACGAGCGCAACCCUUAUCCUUUGUUGCCAGCGCGUAAUGGCGGGAACUCAAAGGAGACUGCCGGUGAUAAACCGGAGGAAGGUGGGGAUGACGUCAAGUCAUCAUGGCCCUUACGAGUAGGGCUACACACGUGCUACAAUGGCGUAUACAAAGAGAAGCGAACUCGCGAGAGCCAGCGGACCUCAUAAAGUACGUCGUAGUCCGGAUCGGAGUCUGCAACUCGACUCCGUGAAGUCGGAAUCGCUAGUAAUCGUAGAUCAGAAUGCUACGGUGAAUACGUUCCCGGGCCUUGUACACACCGCCCGUCACACCAUGGGAGUGGGUUGCAAAAGAAGUAGGUAGCUUAACCUUCGGGAGGG